UACGUAGGCAGCGAGCGUUGUUCGGAGUUACUGGGCGUAAAGAGUGCGUAGGCGGUUUUCUAAGGUUGGUGUGAAAUCUCCCGGCUUAACUGGGAGGGUGCGCCGAAAACUGGAAGGCUUGAGUAUGGGAGAGGUAAGCGGAAUUCCUGGUGUAGCGGUGAAAUGCGCAGAUAUCAGGAGGAACACCUGCGGUGUAGACGGCUUACUGGACCAUAACUGACGCUGAGGCACGAAAGCGUGGGUAGCAAACAGG
rnacentral:rRNA from 1 species